rnacentral:miRNA from 1 species
CCCUUUGUCGCAGUUUUAUCUGGUAAAGCGAAUGAUUAGAGGUCUUGGGGGCGAAACGCCCUCAAC